rnacentral:ribozyme from 16 species
CGAGGAGUGGGACGGCUACUACAAGGCGACCGGGGAGCGGGCGUUCUGGUGCAACGCCCAAUCCGGGGACGGGAUCAAACCCAUUCUGAAGGCUGCCAUAAAAUGUGGCGCAAAGACGAAUGCCAAGCGUGCCCGACGGGGGUUAAGGCC